GGGGCUGUAGCUCAGCUGGGAGAGCGUCUGAAUGGCAUUCAGAAGGUCGUCGGUUCGAUCCCGAUCAGCUCCA
rnacentral:tRNA from 1 species